UCUCUCUGCCCGUGUCUGUCCGUGAAAUUCCGGCCAGGUCUCCCCGCCAUGGCUCUCCCGACCUCUUCCGACAGCGCCCUGCCGGCGGAAGCCCGAGGACGAGGACGGCGAAGGAGGCUCGUUUGGACCCCGAGCCAAAGGGAGGCCCUGCGAGCCUGCUUUGAGCGGAACCCGUACCCGGGCAUCACCACCAGAGAACAGCUGGCCCAGGCCAUCGUCAUUCCGGAGCCCAGGGUCCAGAUUUGGUUUCAGAACGAGAGAUCACGCCGGCUGAGGCAGCACCGGCGGGAAUCUCGGCCCUGGCCCGGGAAACGCCGCCCGCAAGAAGGCAGGCGAAAGCGGACCGCCGUCACCCGGUCCCAGAACGCCCUGCUCCUGCGAGCCUUCCAGCAGGAUCGCUUUCCAGGCAUCGCCACCCGGGAAGAACUGGCCAGAGAGACGGGCCUCCCGGAGUCCCGCAUUCAGAUUUGGUUUCAGAACCGGAGGGCGAGCCAUCCGGGCCAGGGUGGCAGGGCACCGGCGCACACAGGCGGCCAGUGCAACGCGGCCCCCGGCGCGUGUCGCCCCGCUCCCUCGCUGGUCGCCUUCACCCACACCGGAGCGUGGGGAACGGGGCUUCCCGCACCGCACAUGCCCUGCGCGCCCGGGGCUCUCCCACAGGGGGCUUUCGUGAGCCAGGGAGCAGGGGCCGUCGCCCCGCUCCGGCCCAGCCAGGCUGCGCAGGCAGCAGGGAUCUCCGCACCUGCCCCUGCACUCGGGGCUUUGUGUUGGGUGCCCUGGCUCCUCCGGAAGUGGGAUUGUCUCACCCUCAGACUCCUCGGUGGCCUCUGCACCCCAACAAAUGCCAGAAAGACCAGGACCCGCAGCGUGGUGGCCUGCUGGGCGCGUGCUCGGUGGGACAGCCUGGGCCCGCUAGAGCUGAGUCACAGCACCAAGGUGUGCUUGCGCCACCCAGGUCCCAGCGGAGUCGCUGGUGGGGCUGGAGCCCCAGGUCGCCAAGCUGGCGUGGGAACCCGAAGACAGGGCAGCUCCACCUCCGGAGCCCGGGACCCCGGAGGCCUCCGCGUGUCAAGCACAGAUGCAAGCCAUCCGGGCGCCCUCCCAACCGUUCCAGGAGCCUCAGCGCUAGUCUGCACUCCCCUCCAGCCUGUUAGAUGAGCUCCUGGCGACCCUAGAGUUUCAGCAAAAGGCACAACCUUUCCUAGAUCCGGCGCCACUGGGGGAGUUGAAGGACGUGGAAGAGCCCGCUCCCCUGGAAUCACACCUCAACCAGGAGGAACACCGGGCUCUGCUGAAGGAGCUUUAG